UGGGGAAUAUUGGGCAAUGGGCGAAAGCCUUACCCAGCAACGCCGCGUGAGGGAAGAAGGUUUUCGGAUUGUAAACCUCUGUCCUGGGGGACGAAGGAAGUGACGGUACCCCGGGAGGAAGCCCGGCUAACUACGUGCC
rnacentral:rRNA from 1 species